GACCAGAAAGAACAAACGUUUGUUGGAAAUCAUUGAGUAAGAAAAUUUUCACAGAAGCUAUAUUCAAUAUAUUUGAAACCGUGGCUAGCGAUGAUAUACUUUUUCCACUUAUACCUUCGAGACAUAGCUCAAGGUAGACAGGAUCUAUACGCCAGAAAUCAAAAUACGGCAUCGUACUCUUCUACUGUGACUGGAGGAAGUUCAUCAAUGGUUGGCUCUAUAAAAAAUAAAACAGUCUUCCGUUAAGCAUCGUACAUCAAGAUUGAUACUUUAAGCUAGUCCAUUAUUACCUGGUUUGAGUACUACGUAAGGGGCGUAAUCGUAUUUCAUGGCAGCUUGUUGAAUAGAUUCGAUACGAUGAAAAAGUCCUGAACACAUCCGUACUGUCAAUUCUCCGAUUACGUAUCUCACCACUCUGUGCUCAUGGAAA
rnacentral:misc_RNA from 1 species